GCCAGUAUAGUGGAUAUGACCAUCGGUUAGUAACCGAGUGGGUUCGGGUUAGAAUCCCGAAUAAGGCA
rnacentral:tRNA from 1 species